GCCUAGGACCAUAUCACGUUGAAUGCACCGGUUCUCGUCCGAUCACCGAAGUUAAGCAACGUCGAGCCCGGUUAGUACUUGGAUGGGUGACCGCCUGGGAAUACCGGGUGUUCUAGGCCU
rnacentral:rRNA from 14 species